UUAUAUUUUUAUGAUUUGAAUUAUGGCUACAGAGUGAAGCAAAGUGACAUAUUACGAGUGGAAGUUUUAUUGAGGAAAGAAGGGCUCGGCUUAACGACAUUGCUACUGAAAUGGAGAACUUAAAAGUUGAAUUAUCAGUGGUAAAGAAGCAAAAUGAAGACCUUGCACAACUUUGGACAAGUUUUGAAAGAAGUACGUAGAGGAAAUGUUUCAUCGGACCUUUUAGAUGGUGAAGAAUCAGCAAUUCACACGACUAAUGAUGAUUCAGGUGGGCAAUGGUAAUAUGGAUAAAGAUAUUGAAGACUUGAUCUCCACUCACGGCGAUUUGGGAACAAACGUUUUUUUUUAUGUUAAAGGAAAAAAAUGUUAUGUUAGUUGGAUAGUCCUAAGAAGUUAUUUUUAUUUCUAGUUUGUCUAAGGCCAAUAUUUGAUGUAUCGAUAUAUAAUACAUGAUCCUAUUAUUAUUUUGGUAUUUUGUUGAUUGGUUGGACAAAGCAACUAUGCACAUGGAUGUUUUUUAAUUAAAUUAAGUGUGUUUUCAAAUUA